rnacentral:rRNA from 1 species
UGAUCCUGGCUCAGAAUGAACGCUGGCGGCGUGGAUAAGACAUGCAAGUCGAACGGAAAUAUGAUUAGUUUACUAAGAUUAUUUUAGUGGCGGACGGGUUAGUAACACGUGAGCAACUUACCUCAGAGUGGGGGAUAGCCUUCCGAAAGGGAGAUUAAUACCGCAUACGGUCUACGGACUAAAGCUAGCUUCGGCUGGUGCUUUGAGAUAGGCUCGCGUCCUAUCAGUUAGUUGGUGAGGUAACGGCUCACCAAGACUACGACGGGUAGCUGUUCUGAGAGGAGGAUCAGCAACACUGGAACUGAGACACGGUCCAGACACCUACGGGUGGCAGCAGUCGAGAAUCAUUCACAAUGGACGCAAGUCUGAUGGUGCAACGCCGCGUGGAGGAUGAAGGCCCUAGGGUCGUAAACUCCUGUCAUAGCAGAGUAAGGCAUAUUAGUUAAAAGCUAGUAUGUUUGAUAGUAUGCUAAGAGGAAGGGACGGCUAACUUCGUGCCAGCAGCCGCGGUAAUACGAAGGUCCCGAGCGUUAUUCGGAAUCACUGGGCGUAAAGGGAGCGUAGGCGGCGCGGUAAGUCAGAUGUGAAAUCUGGAGGCUCAACCUCCAAACUGCAUUCGAUACUGCCGUGCUAGAGUAAUGGAGAGGUAACUGGAAUUCUCGGUGUAGCAGUGAAAUGCGUAGAUAUCGAGAGGAAGACCAAUGGCGAAAGCAGGUUACUGGACAUUUACUGACGCUGAGGCUCGAAGGCUAGGGUAGCGAAAGGGAUUAGAUACCCCUGUAGU